rnacentral:rRNA from 1 species
CCUACGGGAGGCAGCAGUGAGGAAUAUUGGUCAAUGGGCGCACGCCUGAACCAGCCAAGUCGCGUGAGGGAUGACGGUCCUAUGGAUUGUAAACCUCUUUUGUCGGGGAGCAAGGCCCGCCCCGUGUGGCGGGAAGGAGAGUACCCGAAGAACAAGCAUCGGCUAACUCCGCGCCAGCAGCCGCGGUAAUACGGAGGAUGCGAGCGUUAUCCGGUUUUAUUGGGUGAAAAGGGUGCGUAGUCGGAAGGUUAAGUCAGCGGUAAAAUGUCGGUGCUCAACACCGGCCUGCCGUUGAAACUGGUCUUCUUGAGGUAGCGAGAAGUAUGCGGAAUGCGUGGUGUAGCGGUGAAAUGCAUAGAUAUCACGCAGAACUCCGAUUGCGAAGGCAGCAUACCGGCGCUCAACUGACGCUGAGGCACGAAAGCGUGGGGAUCGAACAGGAUUAGAUACCCGGGUAGUC